rnacentral:rRNA from 1 species
AGAGUUUGAUCCUGGCUCAGAGUGAACGCUGGCGGUAGGCCUAACACAUGCAAGUCGAACGGCAGCACAGUAAGAGCUUGCUCUUAUGGGUGGCGAGUGGCGGACGGGUGAGGAAUACAUCGGAAUCUACCUUUUCGUGGGGGAUAACGUAGGGAAACUUACGCUAAUACCGCAUACGACCUUCGGGUGAAAGCAGGGGACCUUCGGGCCUUGCGCGGAUAGAUGAGCCGAUGUCGGAUUAGCUAGUUGGCGGGGUAAAGGCCCACCAAGGCGACGAUCCGUAGCUGGUCUGAGAGGAUGAUCAGCCACACUGGAACUGAGACACGGUCCAGACUCCUACGGGAGGCAGCAGUGGGGAAUAUUGGACAAUGGGCGCAAGCCUGAUCCAGCCAUACCGCGUGGGUGAAGAAGGCCUUCGGGUUGUAAAGCCCUUUUGUUGGGAAAGAAAAGCAAUCGAUUAAUACUCGGUUGUUCUGACGGUACCCAAAGAAUAAGCACCGGCUAACUUCGUGCCAGCCGCCGCGGUAA